ensembl:lncRNA
CCUCCUCACUCUUAGAAUUUAUCUGCGUUCUCCACUAAAUAAUUGCUUGCUGGAUUAUCUAUUGUUGUUUGAUUGAUUUAAUCUCACUGAUAAAAAUGUGGAUACGUUUCAUAAAUUAAUACGCUGAGGCGAUGUGACGUAGGCAGUCAGCCUCUGUUGUGAGAAACCAGUGGUAAAUAUGCUGUAGUACUUGGUGUCAUUGACCUUGUCUGUUUUGGUGGCUGGGUAAAUGACAGCCUUGUUUGUUUCUCUUUCCAUAGGAUACAUUUGCCUCAGCUGUAUUGCACCCAUAGCCUACAGUGUUUAUUUUUUUGUCUUGGAAACCAUGAAAUGAAAUAACACAUCAAAGUGCAUCUGAAGUCAUGUGAUUAAGGCUCCAUUUUACGAUGAUGGAAGAUAAAGAGGAUUAAAGCCCCAAGACGACGAAGAAGAUUUGACAUCAAACUCCCAGGAGACUUUUCUUAGCACAGCAUCUUUAUUGAAAUUUGUUUCUUUUAGAUAACGUGAUUUCUCAUCAGCUACAGAGGCAUGUUGUACACAGCAUGCACUAUUCACACACAAUAAACAAACAAUCAAACAAACAAACAAACCAACAAUCAACCAAACAAUGACAUGUCCACCGUCCCAUGAAAACAUAGUUGUUUACUAUACUGUAGUCGCCAUUCAAUUACUUCGAUUUGAAGAUUUUUGAGUUAAUAUAUGCACCUAUGAAUUAGCAGAAUGCAUACAGUACCAGAAGCGCAACUUUUGCCAUGUUACACUGUGUCUGAGGCAUAUGAAGGUCAUGAAGAGAUAUAAAACUGGACUAUUGCCAUUUCGACUUUACACACUUGCUGGCCCCUAUAUCGAUAGUAUUGGUCAAAGAGUAGCAGAAAUAGCCGAUAGUUAGCUCAUUUACACUGGAGGGGUUCAAAAGGGAACUUGACUGUAUGUAGCUAUGUUUUAAUGUAUGCUGUUUAAAAACAAGCUUUCCCUCUAAGACAUUCAAACUGACAUUUAUUUAUUUCAACUCAUACUGUGAAAUGCUCUCACUUUACAGGUAACACAUUUGACAGCCAAAUGGAAUUGAUCUAUAUAGAGUGAGUUCAAUGACAUACACGUAGAUCUGCCUCACAUUCUCCUGAACACUGUGCCUCUUCUGACGACUCUAGCAUUGUGUCACGUGUAGGCUACAGUACAUGAGUACAGUCCCCCACAGGCAGACGAGUCUAGUCGAGUAUCUUUAGUGCAACGCAAGGGGUCUACUGAGGUACCUGUAGAGGUGGAGAAAUCCCAGAUUCAAAGAGUAAAACAAUCUGCCAUGUUUUUGCCCCAUACAUACACUGUCUACUUCCACCCAUGGUUGUGCCGAUUAGCAAACUUGGAUGGUUGACUUAAAAAAUAACCUGUAGCACAUGUCUACUUCCUGAUGUCCACUUCCUGACAUGUAGCAAGAAGCUAAGGGUGGGAGGAGCAAACGAGCAUCUGUAGCUGCAAACUGCUGGGUUUUCCCCUCCAGGUCUCUCCCGUACCCACAGACAGAACCCCUCCCCUCAGCCCUCACAGCCUACCUGGGCCCCUCUCUCCUGACUGGUUGAUCAGGAGUGCAGCGCAGAGGAACGCAGUCAGGAAGUGGCAAGAGCUGAGAAGAGCUUUUAUGUGUGUGUCUGUCUGAGAGUCUGUACAGUUUCUAUGGAGCCUGGACAGGUAGGGCAGACUCUCAGAUCUGAGAUCACAGACUGGCUACACUGGUCGAUGUAGCCAUAGCUCAGCUCUGAAGGAGCUGCCAGGCUGUGCUGUCAGAUGCUGCAGUGCUCCUGUCUCUAUGUGCAGGACAGUCUGCUCUUGGUAUUUGCCCUUCAUUCAGACACGGCCUAAAUGGAAAUUUACAAGGAAAGUGACGGGCUUUGGAAGUGUAAAAGAUAGGAAAUUGGUUUUGAAUGGUAGUUAGCUUUAGGUCGGACAGUCACCUCUCUCUCUCUCUCUCUCUCUCUCUCUCUCUCUCUCUCUCUCUCUCUCUCUCUCUCAGACUGUCUCUAACAUACCCUUGUUCUUUUCUUCACUCUACAUUCUACACUUUCAUACUCUUGUUCCUUCCUGGCCUCUCUUCUAUAGUUGAAUUUUUAGAGAUAUUUAAGUAUUCAGUAUAAUAAACAAUCUGUAAAUACAAUGCUUAAAACACUCAAGGUAGCAAGCAAACACAUAGGUCAAUAAAUAGAUAAAUAAAUAAAUAGAUAGAUAGAUAGAUAAAUAAAUAAAUCAUCUCAAAAAAUAUUUAAAAUAAAAACAUUCAUUACAUUUCAUGACAACUCAUUACUGCAAUAAAUAAAAAAAAACAGUAGUCAAAUAAAUAUCCAACAUAAUCAAUUGCUUUAAAUGAAUUAACUUAUUGUGGUGGACUGUAUAAAAAUAGUACCUACUCUAGUACUCCAGCCUCACCCCUAUGCAUUUUUGCACUAUUCUGUGGGAAUACAUCUAUCAUGUACAGCCAGUGGAGAAAUCACUACAGACACAAUGACAAGAGACAGUGGGAACGACACACAAAAAUGUCUUAACCAUGUGGAGGGUGAUACAGAUUGGAAAAUCUUCAAAGUCUACACGUAAAUAUGCUUUGUUUUAAAAACAACACACUUGGAUGAUAAUGCCUGCUCGUUUCCCCCUCGAGGAGCAGUUGCCUUCCUUGGGGCAGCUUCCAUACUUCAGGUUAAUGCGGCUGUGGAAACUGUGCAUUUCUCUGCUAUGCCCCUCAGCAUAUACGUUAUACACGUUAUAUUCACUGGGGUUUGGGUGGAGGCCCUCUGGGUAUAUGUGCCAGCAGCCUUCAUUAAUCUUAAACAGCUCCUGUUGCUGAGUUGUGUCUUUCUUUUACCACAGGGAGGAAGGCAGGAGGGGCCUUGUGCCAGCGUGAGAUAUUGUCAAGGGGCUGCAUAAUAUACACAUAGGAUUGAUUUGCUCUGGUGUAGAAAAAACAAAUGAAAUGAAAAGGAUAUUUUUUUUGAUUGCUGUUUUUUUGUCGUUGAUGUUCUUUAAGGCUCGGCCAUGUGUGUGUGUGUCGGUAUGGGUAACAGACAUCGGCACUUGCGCCUGGUUCAAGGAGCAGGGCUUGAGAGUGUGUGUUCACAUGGUCCCGGCUGGAUGCCUCGGUGCAUUUAGAGGCGCCCCUCCACUAAAAACUGCUCCCUUUAGAACCAGCCUACCUGUGCCUACCCUGGAUCUGACUGAGGGUGGGUGUCCAAGUUUACAGAAUGAAAAAAGGGGGAAAAAAACACAGGUUUAUCCAGAGCUACAGUACACAGUAUGUCAAGGUGCACUUCCCACACACUCAGUCAAACAGCACACCCUAGUGGCCAAAAGAAACACUGCAUGCUCUCCAUGAGCCCCCACGGUCAGUCUUAUGAUUUACUCCAGCCGGAAAUAUGGGAGUUUAGAGCAUUAGAGAGCCUGCCAAUGCUAAGCAUUAAGCCACAGUGUCUGCCACAGUUAAGCUCUCUCUACAUGUAUUCUAUGUACAUCAUAAAACUACAAAGUAUUGAAAUUAGGGAGUAUAGAGGUUCAGAGUUUGGCGAGCAGAAGGGAGAUCUAGAGACUAGGAAGAGAUAGGAGGAUUCUGGACCAAGAGGGGUUCUAUUUGGGGAGGGUCGGAUGGGGGGGAGUAGUUAUGAGAAACUGAUAGGCAGCAUGCUGAUGAACACAGGAGACCCUGGAAGAGCUGGUCAUCUAGGGAGAGAAAGAAAAAGAGAGAGAG